rnacentral:rRNA from 1 species
GACGAACGCUGGCGGCGUGCUUAACACAUGCAAGUCGAGCGGUAAGGCCCCUUCGGGGUACGACGAGCGGCGAACGGGUGAGUAACACGUGGGUGACCUGCCCUCAGCUCUGGGAUAAGCCUGGGAAACUGGGUCUAAUACCGGAUAUGACUCCAUGACGCAUGUCGUGGGGUGGAAAGCCUUGUGCGGCUGGGGAUGGGCCCGCGGCCUAUCAGCUUGUUGGUGGGGUGAUGGCCUACCAAGGCGACGACGGGUAGCCGGCCUGAGAGGGCGACCGGCCACACUGGGACUGAGACACGGCCCAGACUCCUACGGGAGGCAGCAGUGGGGAAUCUUGCGCAAUGGGCGAAAGCCUGACGCAGCGACGCCGCGUGAGGGAUGACGGCCCUCGGGUUGUAAACCUCUUCAGCUCCGACGAAGCG